AGCCCGCUCGCCGGAAGACCAAGGGUUCCUGUCCAACGUUAAUCGGGGCAGGGUGAGUCGACCCCUAAGGCGAGGCCGAAAGGCGUAGUCGAUGGGAAACAGGUUAAUAUUCCUGUACUUGGUGUUACUGCGAAGGGGGGACGGAGAAGGCUAUGUUGGCCGGGCGACGGUUGUCCCGGUUUAAGCGUGUAGGCUGGUUUUCCAGGCAAAUCCGGAAAACCAAGGCUGAGGCGUGAUGACGAGGCACUACGGUGCUGAAGUGACAAAUGCCCUGCUUCCAGGAAAAGCCUCUAAGCAUCAGGUAACAUCAAAUCGUACCCCAAACCGACACAGGUGGUCAGGUAGAGAAUACCAAGGCGCUUGAGAGAACUCGGGUGAAGGAACUAGGCAAAAUGGUGCCGUAACUUCGGGAGAAGGCACGCUGAUAUGUAGGUGAAGCGACUUGCUCGUGGAGCUGAAAUCAGUCGAAGAUACCAGCUGGCUGCAACUGUUUAUUAAAAACACAGCACUGUGCAAACACGAAAGUGGACGUAUACGGUGUGACGCCUGCCCGGUGCCGGAAGGUUAAUUGAUGGGGUUAGCGGUAACGCGAAGCUCUUGAUCGAAGCCCCGGUAAACGGCGGCCGUAACUAUAACGGUCCUAAGGUAGCGAAAUUCCUUGUCGGGUAAGUUCCGACCUGCACGAAUGGCGUAAUGAUGGCCAGGCUGUCUCCACCCGAGACUCAGUGAAAUUGAACUCGCUGUGAAGAUGCAGUGUACCCGCGGCAAGACGGAAAGACCCCGUGAACCUUUACUAUAGCUUGACACUGAACAUUGAGCCUUGAUGUGUAGGAUAGGUGGGAGGCUUUGAAGUGUGGACGCCAGUCUGCAUGGAGCCGACCUUGAAAUACCACCCUUUAAUGUUUGAUGUUCUAACGUUGGCCCGUAAUCCGGGUUGCGGACAGUGUCUGGUGGGUAGUUUGACUGGGGCGGUCUCCUCCUAAAGAGUAACGGAGGAGCACGAAGGUUGGCUAAUCCUGGUCGGACAUCAGGAGGUUAGUGCAAUGGCAUAAGCCAGCUUGACUGCGAGCGUGACGGCGCGAGCAGGUGCGAAAGCAGGUCAUAGUGAUCCGGUGGUUCUGAAUGGAAGGGCCAUCGCUCAACGGAUAAAAGGUACUCCGGGGAUAACAGGCUGAUACCGCCCAAGAGUUCAUAUCGACGGCGGUGUUUGGCACCUCGAUGUCGGCUCAUCACAUCCUGGGGCUGAAGUAGGUCCCAAGGGUAUGGCUGUUCGCCAUUUAAAGUGGUACGCGAGCUGGGUUUAGAACGUCGUGAGACAGUUCGGUCCCUAUCUGCCGUGGGCGCUGGAGAACUGAGGGGGGCUGCUCCUAGUACGAGAGGACCGGAGUGGACGCAUCACUGGUGUUCGGGUUGUCAUGCCAAUGGCACUGCCCGGUAGCUAAAUGCGGAAGAGAUAAGUGCUGAAAGCAUCUAAGCACGAAACUUGCCCCGAGAUGAGUUCUCCCUGAGACUUAGAGUCUCCUGAAGGAACGUUGAAGACGACGACGUUGAUAGGCCGGGUGUGUAAGCGCAGCGAUGCGUUGAGCUAACCGGUACUAAUGAACCGUGAGGCUUAACCUU
rnacentral:rRNA from 1 species